CCUGCAAUGAGCCAAAUCAAUUCUAUUCAAAAUUAAAUAUUACUUAUACUCCAAGUACUUAUGAACUAAUAUUAGUAACUGAUUCCGGCGACAUAUUGUUAAACAUCUAAUUUGAACCCGACUGUACAAACACGCAUACAAUGCAGUAUUGUAUUUAAGUGUCGCCGCCUUUGUUGGUGUUCUAUUGAUAACCCUCAGCCCUCGUUUGAAAAAUUAUUAAUCAGAGGUCGCCUGUCGUUUGGGAAGAAUGUUGUAAAACAGAAAAUAAAUAAGAAAGUCACAUUUGGGUGGGCUAGACUUAUUGUUUUCAUAUAUAUUGCUCAGUUUAUCCAAUUUCAAACAUUUUAAACACUAUUCUUAUUUAAUUUAAACAGGAACUGGAACAUAUGUUGAAAUUUAACAUAUUUGGUUACAGCAACUUUGGAAUGGCUUUUUAAAUUGGGGAACCGGUUGAUACAGUCGCUAUCAGCUUAGCACUCAAUUAACUUGAGACGAAAGCGCCACACAAGGACUGACUCCAGCGCAGAUCAACAAUUGUUGUCAAUUGAAAAUAGGAAACCUUUUAAUUAACUGAAGUACUGGAGCAGCUAUUGUAUCCCCGUUAUUGAUUUAGGUCUUUUUCGAGAGCCGUGUGAGCAAGAGUGCGGAUUUUCACGUAAUUUCCGGAGUGCACGACCAAUUACAAUUACAACACCAAUCAAAAUACAACAAAGCAAAUCAAGUGCCACACUAAAUUUCUAUGGAAAAUUAAGUUUGCGUAAGUUGGUAGCUGAAUGAGGGAUGAAAAUGCUUGAAAAAGCUGCCUACGGGUUAGCUUGAAAUACUAUAGAUGUAGCGAGAAAGUAACCACUGAAAGUCAACUACACCCAAAUAGUUGCUAAAGUCUUCGCAGCAAAUAUUUAAUACAAUACUCGACAAUCUCUGUAGUAAGCUUAUAGCUGAAAGUGCAACAUAUUUUCGUAAUGUCGUUUCAUAUUCGUUUUGUUUUAUGCGCAGCCAUGAAGACGAAGAACAAUUAGGAUUCGUCACAGCAGCCGCCACUUUAGUUAUUACUCGCGUAAUUCUGGCAUACGCGUAAUUGCGUAUUCAGCCCAUUUUUCGAAUGCGAAUGGUAAUGCCAGAUUACAGUGCUGCU